ACGAUUUAACAAUUACAUUUAUGAAUGUGUGUGUGUUUAUAUAUGAUUUUGAUAUAUCUAUAGCAAGUUUUGUAUUUUCCGGCGACGAAUAUAAGAUUCUCUCUGUUUUUUUUUUUUUUGGCCUUUCUGGUAAACUAUUGGUUCUGUUAUGUUGAAUUCUUCUACUUCGCACAACAAUUAGAGCUACGGAAAAUUACUAAUGAGUUGGUUUUCUUUUCUUUUUCUUUUUUUCAGAUAAAGGAGGACGACGUGAAACAGUGCAUAAGGAGCACCGGCAGGUUCCGAGGAAAAUAAUUUUGUUAAGAAAGCAAUGGUGGCAUGGAAGUUUGUACAAGACUACAAGUACAGUUGCCAUUUGCAAGGUUGUUCAGUUAGAAAUAUCUAAACGAUUAUUGCUGAAAAAAGAAGCUGUUUGUUUGAAGGCUGAGAUGCAACAUGAUUAUUGCUGAAAUGGGAAAUUGUUUGAAGACUGAGAUACAACAAGUUAAGGCAGUAAAGAAAAAGAACGUUUAUAGGUUUAUUGUAUUGUAAUUUUAUGUUCAAUUUUAAAGGUAGAAAAUAGAAAUAGAUAGUGACCAGGGUGUGUGGGAUGUAUUCAUUCUGUUGAUUUCAGGA